CCUAAUCUAAUCUUAAAAAUUCCUUUGCCUUGUGAAUUGUCAUGUUGAUUUAGUCACAUUAAAGCAACUGUAUCCCUGAUAGCACACAAGACGUCUAUUUGACGUCUGCAUUUACAUCUGCAAGACAUUUUUUUUAUUUAUUUUUUUGCUCAUCUGCAAUACAUCUGAGACAUUUCCUCUAAGAUGACAAAUAAACGUUCAGAAAAUGUCUUUAAGAUGUUUAUGAUUUAAAAUGCAUGUAAAACUGACAUCUUAAAGACGUCUAUCAGAUGUUUGUACACAGCAGAUGCUUUCCAGAUGAAGCGAUCUUUAAGUGUGUGCCAUAUGGGAUGUAGUUUUGUGUAUUUUUGUGCCUUUGGAGCCCCCUACAGUUAAGUGAGUGGAAUUCACUGUCGUAGGUGACAAAAUUUGCUGUACACGUGCAUUUAAUCCACCCUUUUCGCGGAAUUUCGUACGCUCAUCAGGCGUUUGGGAAGCGUGGGAAAGAAGCCGAUCGCAUUUGGAAGUCAGUGUACCAUUACAAUGACUUUAAAACUGUUAUUCCAAGAGCCAUCUAAUAUGACUUCUGAAGAUUGCUGGAAUAACACACACGAAUCAUAAGGACUACAUAUGUGGUACUUUCAUUUGCUUUUUGGUGCUUCACAGACACAAGUAUCGUCUGUUCCCUCAUCUGCUUGUUUCGUGAAUGAAAACAUUAUGGGUUGAGAAUAAGGGGCAGGAUCCUGUAGUGGUGUGGUGAGUAAGCAGUCCCUUUGAAGUGUACAGAUGGGUUAAAAUGUGAGACCACAGCAGCAGCAUUCUGCACAUGAGGAAAGCAGCCAUUACCUCCAGGUUCCCUCCAUUAGUGGAGAGUGAAGGCCAAGGCAGAGCAAACAGUUGGACUGUUUUCAUCAUGAUGAAAGGAAGGUAGGCCACAGACUCAGGGAUGGAAUAACACCAGUGUUGUUCUAGAGAUGUUUUGGGGUCAGAAGAUGACGAAGAGGAAACAGUUCUAAAAAAAAAGAGACUAUUUGAAUGCAUAAGAUGCCUGGGGAGGAGGAAAAACAUCCUUGAUGCACUCUGGAUUUGUUAAAACUUUUUAAAUGCUGAUGCAUAAAUUGUAAAGCUGGAGUUAAACAUGAUUAAUUUUAGAAUCAAGUGGAAUCAAGUAGAAUCAAGUUUG
ensembl:lncRNA